rnacentral:rRNA from 1 species
AUGCCCGGCCGUCUUGAUCAGUCAGAUCAGGGAUCAGUAGCGGCUGCACUCGGCGGGGAGCCCCUGCGGGAACCUGUACCCAUCGUCGCAGUAGUUGUAGCGCAUGUAACUGCGCUCCGCCCACUUGACGGUGCCCCACUCGGCGCCGUCGAGCUGCUUGUUCAUCCACCUGCCGCUGCCGGCAUGGCACGCGCCGCCGCUGACGCAGGCGUUGGCGUAGAAGUUACGGUAGGAGACGAUGAAGGGCGCGUUGGACCAGUUGAUCGGGAUCCUGCCCUUCUCGGUCGCCCAGUAGCUGCCGUCCCACAGCGUGGCGUGGAGCCUCAUGGGCUUGGAGCUAGGGUAGGCAAGGCCGCCGAAGCGCUUGAAGGAGCGGAUGAAGAGGUUGUCCACCUUGAAGAGGAUGUUCUCCGGGUUCCAGAUGAUGGUGUAGGUGUGGUAGGCGGCGGCCGGGUCGAACCAGAGGUCGAACUGGUGCUCCUUCUUGCCGUCGCCGUUGGCCCACACGUUGGUGUUGAGCACCACCGGGUGGCCGCUCGAGUUGCCCAUGAACUCCAUGUCGAUCUCGUCGCGCCACUCGUCGUCACCGGAAGAAAGCUGCAAUUAACAGCAACGAUGGGUCAGUUAUAUAUAUAUAUAUAG